GAUGAACGCUAGCUACAGGCUCAACACAUGCAAGUCGAGGGGUAACGAGAGGGAAGCUUGCUUUCCUUGUCGACGACCGGCGCACGGGUGAGUAACGCGUAUCCAACCUGCCCCCAACUAGGGAAUAACCUUGCGAAAGUAAGACUAAUACCCUAUAAUUUCCUCAGAUGUCAUCUGACGAGGAAUAAAGAUUUAUCGGUUGUGGAUGGGGAUGCUUCUGAUUAGCUUGUUGGUGGGGUAACGGCCCACCAAGGCAACGAUCAGUAGGGGUUCUGAGAGGAAGGUCCCCCACAUUGGAACUGAGACACGGUCCAAACUCUACGGGAGGCAGCAGUGAGGAAUAUUGGUCAAUGGGCGGAAGCCUGAACCAGCCAAGUAGCGUGCAGGAUGACGGCCCUAUGGGUUGUAAACUGCUUUCAUACAGGAAUAAAGUUAGCCACGUGUGGUUAUUUGUAGGUACUGUAUGAAUAAGGACCGGCUAAUUCCGUGCCAGCCGCCGCCGUAA
rnacentral:rRNA from 1 species